UACGAGGGGGGCAAGCGUUGUUCGGAUUCAUUGGGCGUAAAGGGUGCGUAGGCGGCGCGGUAAGUCGGGUGUGAAAUCUUGGAGCUUAACUCCGAAACUGCAUUCGAUACUGCCGUGCUUGAGGACUGGAGAGGAGACUGGAAUUUACGGUGUAGCGGUGAAAUGCGUAGAUAUCGUAAGGAAGACCAGUGGCGAAGGCGGCUCACUGGCCCGAUACUGACGCUGAGGCACGAAAGCGUGGGGAGCAAACAGG
rnacentral:rRNA from 1 species